rnacentral:lncRNA from 1 species
CGCCCAGGAUGAGGAUCUGGUGUCCUCUAUCUUGAAGACAGACUUGGGAGGAACGAAUUGGAAAGAGGCAGCUUAAGCGAUGGUGUUAUCUACGCUGAGCAGGGAGCCAGAAUUUCUCACGCCUGGGCACAUGCCUUGAGUAAUUGAAGAGCUCCAGCUGGGCUGCAGGGCUGACCUAAUCCAAGCAAGGAAACCAGCAGUGACUCAUCUCACAGAGCUGCCACUCAUCUAUUGAAGGCAAUUUUUAUGGAGGGCGUACCUGGUGCCUCGGACUGUGCAAGGCUUAUUGAUAACAGCGCUCCAGUCUCCCUGGGCCACUGAUCAGAUUAAUGUAAGUGAUUAGCAAUGAUUGUGGUAAGAGCUGAGGACGGCUGCUUGUCUACACUGUUGUGAAACGGAUAUGGGCUUUUACCGUCAAAGCUGUCCCGUCUUUAAACAAGAGUCAGAACGGACAGCAGAAUCUGACUUCUGAUGGGCUCCAGAGAACCGCUGCUACAUGUUUAUUCAAAUAACAGUCCUGAUCUGAGCAGUAAUUUGGCUCCAGCAUCCAUAGAAGGAGUCCAGGCUGCUUCAGCCUUAAUGACAUGUGGACAUUCUGAAAAUACAUCAGACGCACCCGGCCUAAUACGGACGAUCAGCCCAGGAAACGGGAGCACGGAGAGUGACAGCCACACAGGUCUCACGGCUGUUAUAGGAGGAAGAAAGGACUGCCACUGGGGACCGUGGACCUCCAGUCCUGGGUUCUUCCUGCUCCAGCCACAGACCCUGAACCGCUUAUUGGAACUUCUUUACCAGCAUUAACUUAGGGGUUCCCCACGUGUGUUAACGGUCAUUGUCACCUUCUCACUUACCUUCUCUUUGCUGCAUACAAUAAUAUGCCCUGAAGAGAAAAUACACCUAAGACUAGAGGAAGAGUUUAUUACGCUAUAGACAAACACUUUCUAGAAAGACCAUGCAAUGAUCACCAUGAAAGUUGCACAAAAGAGUAAAUAUAUAUUUUAGGUGUACCACUUCACUCUUUGUGCUCACUCCCCACCCCGCCUUUUCCCUGUAAUCUGUUCUCUUUGUCCACAUGUUUAACUUCCAUAUAUAAGUCGAGUCAUACAGAGAUUGUCUUUUUCUAUCUGGUUUAUUUCACUUCACGUAAUACCCUCAAGGUCCAUCCAUGUUGUUGUGAAUGGGACGAUUUUAUCCCUUUUUAUGGCUGAGAAGUACUCCAUUGUAUAUAUAUAUCAUAUCUUCUUUAUGUAGUCAUCAGUCGAUGGGCACUUGGGUUGCUUCCACAUCUUGGCUAUUGUGAAUAAUGCUACAAUGAACAUAGGGGUGCAUGGGACUUUUGGAAUUGCUGACUUCAAGCUCUUUGGAUAGAUACCUAGUAGUGGGAUGGCUGGGUUAUAUGGUAUUACUAUGUUUAAUUUUUUGAGAAAUCUUCAUACUGUUUUCCAUAGUGGCUACACCAGUUUGCAUUCCCACCAGCAGUGUAUGAGGGUUCCCUUCCCUCCACAGCUUCUCCAGCAUUUGCUAUUUUUUGUUUUGGUUAUUUUAGCCAUUCCAAUGGGUGUAAGGUGCUAUCUUAGUGUAGUUUUGAUUUGCAUUUCGCUGAUGGUCAGUGAUGAUGAGUAGCUUUUCACGUGGCUAUUGGCCAUCUGUAU